rnacentral:lncRNA from 1 species
GGACAGGAAAGUUAACAGAGAGAAGAUUCUGUAGCUGCAAAAAUACCUCUAGGUGUUCCGGACACUAUGUGCCUAUAGCUGGCUACAGGAUCACAGCAGCCAAAAGCCCUCCAGGAAGAAGUAUGGAAGCAGCUUUAUUGAGGUUGCCAGCAAGGAUUACGGCUUCUUUGACGCAUGAACGUUUUGGAAUUUAUGAGGAUUUUAAUGAGGAUUUUCUGAAAAAAAUAAAAAUCAGCCGUGCUGUGCUGGGGGGUCUGCUCCAGCCCCCAGUCACCUUAGACUCUCCAAAGCCUG